CCGAAGUCGUACGUCUGGAUGGACUGCCGGCGACACGGUACCGGGAGGAAGGUGGGAUGACGUCAAGUCAUCAUGGCCCUUAUGUCCAGGGCGACACACGUGCUACAAUGGCCGGCACAGCGGGAAGCGAGGGGGCGACCUUGAGCGGAUCCCUCAAAGCCGGUCUCAGUUCGGAUUGCAGUCUGCAACUCGACUGCAUGAAGUUGGAAUCGCUAGUAAUCGUGGAUCAGCCAAGCCGCGGUCGAAUACGUUCCCGGGCCUU
rnacentral:rRNA from 1 species